ACAGGGUCAUCUAUGAAUGAAGGUCCUAAUAUGAAUCGAGUAGGAUCUGAUUCAACGAAUUGACGAAGGAGAGUGUAAUCCAAGGAAGGAGAUGAAGGAAGAGGAGAAAGUGGCGCCAUCUCAAAAAAAAUCAAAGGAGAUGGUGAAAACGGUGAAAAACCUAAAAGUAGAAGACGAAAAGGGAGAAGUCGAAAUUAUCAGGCAAAGACGAAGAAGAAAGAAAACGUGGAGAAGAAGAAAACGAGAAAGAGAAAAAGUGGGAAAGAAGAGGAGCUGUCGGAUGGAAUUCCGAAGCUGGCCUUAACAAUGAAAAGAUGACGGUAAUAAAUGUGA
rnacentral:lncRNA from 1 species